rnacentral:rRNA from 1 species
GUAGGUGACAAGCGUUAUCCGGAAUUACUGGGCGUAAAGCGCACGCAGGCGGUGCGUUAAGUCUGACGUGAAAUCUCCCGGCUUAACUGGGAGGGGUCGUUGGAAACUGGCGGACUUGAGGCGAUGAGAGGGGUGUAGAAUUCCCGGUGUAGUGGUGGAAUGCGUAGAUAUCGGGAGGAAUACCAGUGGCGAAAGCGGCACCCUGGCAUUAGCCUGACGCUCAUGUGCGAAGGCGUGGGGAGCGAACGGGAUUAGAUACCCCGGUAGUCCACGCGGUAAACGAUGAGUACUAGGUGUGGGUGGAGUGAAAUCCAUCUGUGCCGAAGCAAACGCGCUAAGUACUCCGCCUGGGGAGUACGGCCGCAAGGCUAAA